UCUCAGUUCGGAUUGGAGUCUGNAACCCGACUCCAUGAAGCUGGAUUCGCUAGUAAUCGCGCAUCAGCCACGGCGCGGUGAAUACGUUCCCGGGCCUUGUACACACCGCCCGUCAAGCCAUGGAAGCCGGGGGUGCCUGAAGUGCGCUGCCGCAAGGAGCGUCCUAGGGUAAAACCGGUGACUGGGGCUAAGUCGUAACAAGGUAUC
rnacentral:rRNA from 1 species